UCGUGUGUGUCACUUCCUGUCUUGGUGAUUGUCUUUCCCAGCCUUCCCUGUGUCUCUAUUUAAGCCUCUGUGUUCCCCAAGCCCUUUGUCGGUUCACUUGUUGUGCUACUCGUUUCUACACGUCGUGAGAUAUGGUUUGUCUUGUCCUGCUGUCUCGACCAGCUCUCCCGUCCGGAGCUUCCUGGUUCUCCGUGCGCCUUGUGGCCAGUGUUACUUGUUAGUGUUCCUGUUUUGUUUUUGUCUUGUUUAAAGACUCUUUUUAUGUUAAAUACCUUUUUGUUUGUAACCUCUGCAUCCUGGGUCCAUCUCCUUUCUCAAACCGUGACACAAACAGGGUCAUCUCCAGAGAGCCAAGUCACACAAAAGAUGAAGAUGAAGCAGUCGACUCCAAAACGCUUCAAGCUGACACUAAGCAAAUACCCAUAAUUCCCGGCCUUUCCAGUGGUUUGGGCACAAUGAUCUAUGCAGGCAGUAUCGGGACCCAAAUCGCCAAUGAGCUCAUCAACACCUACAGGAUGAACUCUUCUCCAUCAAGCGGAGCUUCCAGUCCGUUUGGCUCGGCCCAGGAGAAAUGUCCACUGGUUUCCCCUCAAACCAGCAGGAGUGCAUCCAGCAGAGAGGACACAGCAGGCAGUUUGUCCCUGUCCCAGUCUGACUCGAGGACGGCAGCGGGCACAGGCAGUGCAACGUCUGAAAGCACAGGUGUCGUCCCAGCUAGACUUGGAUAUCAUGGUGGUGCCGGGCCUGAGCAGCUUUAGCAACGACGAGGCAGCCAUGGCGGUGAUCCUGAGCCUGCUGGAGACGGAUAUAAACAUGGGUCAGUCGGGUCAGUUUGAGGACUUGCACUGGCCUUUCUAGCGGGGCAUGCUGACCGUCUGCCCCUCUACGUGCUCUUGUGCCAUUUUCUUGCCAUUUGCCAUGAAUGUUACAUUUUGCCACCGACUGAUCUGAUUUCGCACAACUGAACCCACUGGUGUCAAGAGAAGCUGGCUGCAGACACAAGAGGGCAGACCUCAACCAUGUGUGGAUGAUGCCAGUGUAAACUUGUUACAGAAAAGAGAGAAGUACACACAUGUUGAAAUGGUAAACAAGGAGACGUUAUAUUCUCAAUUUGGGUCAAUGAAGUAGUAGUAGUAGCAGUAGUGCAACAUAAGUGGUUUUAGUAUUAAUUUAAAGGUAGGGUUGGUGAGUUAUUUCUGAAAAUCUUUACAUGGUAUUUUUUAAAAUCCUCUUCACGUCCUGACAACUAUCAAUAAGAAAAGGCCCGAGAGAUAAGGCUGAAGCAGAGAUGAUAGUCGGGUGUCACGGAAGAGUGGGCUUCAAUAAGUUGGCAGUCCAAGUUCAUGUGUUUUGGGGUGGGAGCUGGGAUGUUUCUGCAUUUUUUCCAAAGUGUAUUCUGCUCUAUAGCCUUUCCAGGAUGACCAACCCUGGCUUUAAGUGACCAACAGCAUGUUAGAUAGAUAGAUAGAUACAAUGUACUUUUACAUCAGUUUUAGAACCGGUUUUAUCAAACCUAAACACAUAUGUGCCACGUGUCGAACACAGACAAUAAACCAAACGUUCUCAAAACCAAGUAUUAUGUAAAUGCAUCUAUGCUACACUUAAAAUGUUACUUGAGAAAAUGAAACGAGCUUUUCUUAAUGAUUAAUUUUGCCUUGCAGUUGCAUCCCCUCCCAGUAGGGGGUAGGGCAACCGCCCCUUAGCGCCCUACUUCCCCCAGCCUUGGUACAAAGACCAUCAAAACCGACCAAGGGAACCUGGUUCAGGGAGUGGCUUUGUGAUGGGACUGUUUCUGUUUUGUAAUAGAAUACAUACUUGAAUAUUAACUUGGUUUACAUUUUUGGCUCCACAAGGGCCAAUCUUUAGCAAAACAAGAAACCUUUCCUUUUUUUCCAACAGAGGAAUGUGAGAAGCGUCUGCUCGGCAAAAGAUAUGUCUGUCAAAAGUUUUUAAAAUGAGUAUCCACUGAAAAACCUAAGCGGUGGGUGGUCUUUGAAAUGGAGGAUUUCUCUGUAUGUGUUUUAAAUAGCGAACGUGCACUAAAGGACCGAGCCCUACGAUGCCUAUGCUCACGUAUAUCACACACUUGCUGUACUCUAGACUGUUCUAGACAUUUACUGAACACUGAACUCGUGGGGAAGGGGGCGCACAGUGCAUGUGAGAAUGUUUUUCAUGUCCUUGCUCCUUCCCCAACCUGUUGCUCUAAAAAGUAUUUGCCUUCGACUGCACAGACAAAAAAGCCAUUGUAUAUAUUUAGCUGGGGAGACAGUUAUGUUGGUGUGUGUCUACAGUUGAAUAUCCCAUUGCCACGCACGCUUCUCGUGAAGGAAAACUCCAUCUUGAAGCAUCACUAUUUCUAUUCUGGGUCUAAUUGGUGGAGAAGCAGAGCUGAGAAAUCUGUUCUCACACCAGCACUGCAGCCACAAGACAGGUUGAUGGUCUGAUUGAAGGGUACAGCCUCAGACGUGAAUGAUUAUACUACACAGCUAUUUAUAUCCUUAUGACCUUAUUUCAAAAUCAGUUGGGGAACAGCGCCGGUGGUCUCGGUCUGACAAGCUGAGGAAAGGGGCUUUACCAAAAAGGAAGUACUUUAUAUUUGACCCCAACGUGACCCUGGACUUUUCGCUACACUGAGAUCAACAGUGUCAGAGUGUGUGAUGGUGGAUUCUAAACCUGGUGACUGGCCUUCAUAUGUAAACCCUGGUUUUAUCACUGGUUCCUCUAGUCUUUAAAGCAUAAUGUGAUUUUGUUGCCUUGAACACGCAUGGUACUGGACAAUAUUUGCAGUUUGCCACCGGUGCCAUGCGAAAUGGACACUAAUGCAUUGUGAAGCGGCCCUGCUUGGAGACAAAAUGUCUGAUAUGUGUAUGUGCAAACUGUUGUUGAUCUAUCUGCUGUAACGUGGAAGGGAGGUUGGAGGUUUUUAAAGUAAAAGGUUUUUUCUAU